rnacentral:lncRNA from 1 species
AAUUACGUGUCACUAGGUACAUGGAGACGUGUGUAAGAUUUUAUAAAGAAUGGACCGUCACGCGAGCUUCAUGCUCGUGGCUGGUGUCUUUAAAUUCUCGAGAAUGUUAGUUCGAGUUAAAACACAAACUGCGGAAGUGAAAAAUCAUCGCAAGCAAGAAAGAAAUCACAAUUUAAAGAGAUAUUAUUUCCGGCCAGAAAGUACCUUAAUCUUAUGAAUAUUAUUUAUUAAAAGUAUUGAAUUAUCUUGAAAAGUUAAUUUAAAUGUAGAUGUUCAAAGUCCGUUUAAAUUCUCAUACAUUCAUUAAGGAUCUUUAAAUUACCGCAAUAUUUUCGGUUAUGUUACUCGAGAUUAAAUUCUUGAGAAUUUAAAAACACUAGCCAAAGCAUCCGAAGCUUCACAAUCUUCGGUAAGUACAGUGUAUAGGUAGUGAGCCUCAAAUUAGUUCGAAACUGGCAAAUCAUCGACUGGAUCUUUUUUUUAUCAUCGGUCAGGACCUACGCGUGUGAUGGCACAUACGCCAUCGAUCUAAUCGGACCUCUUGCAUUUAUUCAUUCGAAUGAGCCAGAACUCAAUGUUGGAACUGACUGCAGCUGGAAUGCAAAAAGUAUGCGAGAAAUGUCGAAAUUUAUCGGCGCAGUUCUUUUGCGAUCGUAGCGCUAAUUAAACGAACUACAGAGAUGAGUGCAUCUCCUUUUAGGCACUUGGAGAUCAGAAAGAUAAAUGCAAGUGCAUAUGUAUCUGGCGCGAAACUCCACCGAGUUUCCUGGUGUGCAGAUCGUUAAAUCUCUCUUUUUUGGUAAUCGUCACGCCCUCGACGUGAAAAAGCACCUCUCUUGGCGAUUUAAUUGAGUCUCAGUCAAUUAUUAACGCCAGACGAUCAGAAGAUUAAAAAGAGAAAUAUGCCGGUUCUUCUUUUCAACCGUCACACUCCGCUUUCAAGAUGGCGCCUGCUGAUUAUCUGUACGAGCCUCGCGCAUUUAUUCAUUAAAAUAAGCCAAAAGGAAUGAAUUGUUCGACUAAAUGUUGAAAAAAGCACGAUUCGAUGUAAACCGGCGAAGGGCGCACGGAGGGAACACUCAACACAAAUAUAUAAAUGUAUAUAGAUAUACAAAUACACGGUUAACACUUCAAGAGUCGUUUAAUGCUCGCCGAUCACAUCGCUUCGCGUUUAUCGAGAUGGUGACCUCCACUCGGAGUUAAAACCUUGCUAAAACCUACUUCCCCGGCAUGUUACGGGAAGCAAUCAGGUUCACCUGAAAUAACAUCACUGUAAAAUGUCGAGAAGGUGCGGGAUGUAUUUUUUUACUGCUCGAGUCACUUUUGUUAACGUUGCUUUAUUGGGUUUAACGACCCCGGGAAUCCCCACUCCGGCGCACUGUUAAAAAUAUUCACAAAUUGCAUGCACCUUUAGUACUAGGUUGUACUAUUUGCUCUAAUUCUUAACUCGACGUUUUGAAAGCGAAUUAUUACGAAUAUUAUAACAUUUAUUGCGAAUUUAUAAUUUUAUAACGGCAUGUCAUUGUAAUUCCGUGAAAUUUCUUAGGAAGAUAAUACACAUGUGUACUGAAUUUAUUACACAUGUUUACGAAAUAUACAAAUAACGUUAGAAAAUCUUUUUUAACAGGGUGGAGAGGAUAU